CCCUGACCCUGCUCUUCCUCUCUCAGCCCCUGAAGGCCCCCAUUAGCUGCCCACCUCCUGCUUGAAACACGCCGCAGAACAUCUGGAAGCCCUAGGAGGCCGUUUCUUUGACAACCUUCGAUUUAAAAGCUCAUGGAAAUUCUUGCUCCAACUGCUGUGACGUGAGCAGCCCAGGUACACAGUCCUCUGGAGGCCAGAAGGGGCUGCCAACAUCUGCUUCCCAUUACCCGGGGGAGGGACUUCACCACCAGCCGCUGGUAACAGGAGACCCUGGCCUCUGAUUUAUGGCCCAUUUGGAAGGAGGCCUCGGAGCAAUUACUUGUUGGAUUGAGCCAGGCGAGGGGCUAGAGCUUUGCAAAGCGGAAAGCAGCCCCUGGCUGGCAGCGCUUUCUCCCCAGGAAGACAGGGACUAUCCACUCAGGAUCCAACAUAUCAGAGGAGGACUCCAGGAAGUCAUUCUACCACCUCUGCCUCCCUGCUGACGAAUCCGAUAUUUGGUUGAACAUUCCUACUUCAAAAUUCCAAAAUCUGAAGCAGUCCAAAAUCUGAAACUUUUGGGGCACUGACAUGAAGCCACAAAUAGAAAAUUCCACAUGUCUGGCAGUGUGUCUCACAGCUACCAGAAGCUUGAAGUGGUGCUGAACAUGCAUAAUGUGCUGAGACGUCUGCAGCAACUGUCCUUCCAUAGACUCCUUGGAUUUCGUGGUCCCAGGCUGAGAAAGCUUGGGGUAGAGAAAUAGGGCUGAGGGCAAAUCGCUGGCUGCAGCCGUGCUGUGGAAGUUUUCCUUCUAACCGACAGGCCCCUCAGCUGCAGGUCUGUUGGAGUUUGCUGGAGGUCCACUCCAGACCCUGUUUGCCUGGGUAUCACCAGUGGAGGCUCAGUUGGAAAUACGGAAAUCACCCGUCUUCUGCGUCAAUCUCGCUGGGAGCUGUUCCUAUUCGGCCAUCUUGGAAGCCUCCUGACUCUUUCACAACUUCUCAAUAAAUAAGAGAUGACUGAAUGUCUUUUUAAGUCCAUUUGUCAGGAGCCAGAGGCCUGGACUAGAAACUUCACCUGAUCUCCUGCCCCUCCUUGUGCCAUAGCAAGUCACAGAUUUUUCUAAGAGCAAAUCAACCAAAAGUAAAAAUAGAACCUGUUGAUUUUCCUAAGAGGAAAUCAACCAAAAAUAAAAAUAAAACCUGUUUCUUGAGGUGUUUGACUUAGGAAUUCUUUCCUGGGCCUCAGAAACAUUGGAACUUUCAUUUUUACUCUUCUCACCAGCACCUGUUAGUUUGGAGACAAAGUUAGACUUUAGCUCUUGGAAGCAGCAAUGUGCCAGAAACCCUGACAAUGAACCGCUGUCUCUGACUAAUUGUUCUAGUGGAGAUGUCUCCUGUUUGACUUGAUUUUAAACUGUGGAGCACGUCAAGAGAAAGCUCACUGAUCUGCCGAGGGUUUGUGCUUUUCUGUCUUCAUGCAUCUGUUGUGGGUGAAGAGAGCAAAGAUUCUUCAUUCAAUCAAAGGCCCCCUUUGGAGAUGCUGAGAAGGAAAUUUCCUUUGGAAAUUCCCAAAGGUAGGUUCUUUGGGGAAGUGAGAACUCUGCUGCUUCAACCUUAGCCCAGCCUGCCCUCCUGGUGGGAAAGACCAGCCGUGUCUUGGCUUCCAAAGAACCAGGAGACAGAAGGAAUUUAUGGCUGGAAGCCCAGCAUGGUCGUGUCCCCUGGGCCCAGUUGCUUCCCCUCUGUGGUUUCCAUAUCUAUGUGUUAAGAGAAAGCAUCUGAAACUUUGAAAUAAGGAAGAAGAUGACUGCGUGUCCUUUGAAUGCCACAUUAAAGCACUGUCAGACAGGCCCUGCCCAAUGGCAAUUUAAUUCUUCAGGGCACGGGCCAAAUCUGGCUGCUGCCUGUUUUUGUAAAUAAAGUUCUAUUGGAACACAGCCA
rnacentral:lncRNA from 10 species